GAACGAGAUCACCCUCUCAAUGAAAGGCAGAUGUCCCUUUAAGGUUUGCUUCUACAGCCCGUGGACUUUAGCCUAAACACGGACCCGCGAAGCUGGCUUUAUUUGUCCAUGUCUCGGACAGAGCCUGGGAAGCUGCCAGUGAGAUUUCAGAGACCAAGAGCGCGAAGGGGCGGGCGAUGUGGCAAUCCGUCUGGGAUGUGAAAAGCGUGGAGCGCAUUUAGAGGCAUUCGACGAAAACACAGGAAAUCACUCUUCUCCCGCUCCUGGGCGCCGCUGCCACUGGGGCAGAGGACUGGGAACCGCCGCAGCGGGCUAAGUGGCCCAGCCAGAGAGCGCAGCUCCCGCGCCCGGUCCUGCCCUGCGAACCAGCGCGGUCCCCUGGCGCUGAGGCCGCUCCGGCCAUGACCCCUCGGCUCCGCGCCCGCCCAGGGGUCGCUGUCGCCUGCUGCUGGCUCCUCACUGGUACAUGCCUCCUCCGGACACAAGUACUCCCUGAAAGAGGUCCUUUGUGACCCUACUGUAGCUAGCCGCCUUUCAGACACUAAAGCUGCUGGGGAAGUCAAAGCCUUGGAUGACUUCUAUAAAAUGUUACAACAUGAACCGGAUCGAGCUUUCUAUGGACUCAAGCAGGUGGAGAAGGCCAAUGAAGCCAUGGCAAUUGACACAUUGCUCAUCAGCGAUGAGCUCUUCAGGCAUCAGGAUGUAGCCACACGGAGCCGGUAUGUGAGGCUGGUGGACAGUGUGAAAGAGAAUGCAGGCACCGUUAGGAUAUUCUCUAGUCUUCACGUUUCUGGGGAACAGCUCAGCCAGUUGACUGGGGUCGCUGCCAUUCUCCGCUUCCCCGUUCCCGAACUCUCUGACCAAGAGGAUGAUUCCAGUUCUGAAGAG
rnacentral:sRNA from 1 species